AGGGAAUUUUCCACAAUGGACGAAAGUCUGAUGGAGCAACGCCGCGUGAACGAUGAAGGUCUUCGGAUUGUAAAGUUCUGUUGUCAGGGAUGAACAAGUACCGUUUGAACAAGGCGGUACCUUGACGGUACCUGACGAGAAAGCCACGGCUAACUACGUGCCAGCAGCCGCGGUAAUACGUAGGUGGCAAGCGUUGUCCGGAAUUAUUGGGCGUAAAGCGCGCGCAGGCGGCUAUGUAAGUCUGGUGUUAAAGCCCGGGGCUCAACCCCGGUACGCAUCGGAAACUGUGUAGCUUGAGUGCAGAAGAGGAAAGCGGUAUUCCACGUGUAGCGGUGAAAUGCGUAGAGAUGUGGAGGAACACCAGUGGCGAAGGCGGCUUUCUGGUCUGUAACUGACGCUGAGGCGCGAAAGCGUGGGGAGCAAAC
rnacentral:rRNA from 1 species